rnacentral:rRNA from 5 species
GGUAGCGCCUCGUGAAUUCAUCUCCGGGGGUAGAGCACUGUUUCGGCUAGGGGGCCAUCCCGGCUUACCAACCCGAUGCAAACUGCGAAUACCGGAGAAUGUUAUCACGGGAGACACACGGCGGGUGCUAACGUCCGUCGUGAAGAGGGAAACAACCCAGACCGCCAGCUAAGGUCCCAAAGUCAUGGUUAAGUGGGAAACGAUGUGGGAAGGCCCAGACAGCCAGGAUGUUGGCUUAGAAGCAGCCAUCAUUUAAAGAAAGCGUAAUAGCUCACUGGUCGAGUCGGCCUGCGCGGAAGAUGUAACGGGGCUAAACCAU